AGAAUGCCGAUACGCUCUUCUAGCUCGGUCAGCGUCAUCCGCCUGACCGCCUCAUAACAGAAGCUGAAUCUCGUUCGUCUGGCGCGUAAAUAAAAGUGAAACAUUUUCUCGCAAAACCCCGUUCAAGUUCAAGGUCAUUCGACCACGUUGGCCCUUAAUCGUUCACGUUCGUGUGAUAGCGGAAAUAACGGCUUUUAAAAACAUUUACAAGUGGAAACACUUUUCAGCACUCCUGUGAACAUCCCACGCGGACAAAUGAGCUAAUCAGCGGCAACGAGUCUUUAAACGGAGUCGGACAACGGACAGCUAACUGAUUGGCGGCUGUCGUUACACAUAUUUUCUGUCGUCGUUUUAAGAAGAAAUUUCCGUUGAGCACAAAACAUGGACACAAACUGUUGUUGUUUGAUGUUUGUGCACUUUUUUUUUGUCUGAUUUUCUCUAUUGACUAUUUUUAAAACCUUUUUUUUUUGUGCUCUCUCGUUUGAGCUUGUUUUGGGUUUCACACGAUUCACAGCCGAACACGGUGAGCUGAGCUGUGAACGACUAUAUAAUUUAUAUCGAAUUUGUAUAUUGCGUGAAGCUUUUCUCUUUAUUGCUGUAUUUGUCACGAAAGAACGGGACGUGGUGAAAUAGAGAGAAGAGAUAGUCAACCUGGUCCGGAUGGGAAAUGAUCGUGGCGCAGUUGAGAUCAGGACGUCGGCUCGAGAGGAUCAAAGAUUUUUAAAAAGUUCAAAAGUUGUCUAACCAAGUGAUUAAAUAUGGGUAAAGGCAAAGGUGGUGGCGGAGGUGGUGCCGGUGGAAACGCAGCUGCUGCUGCCGGAGGCAAUCAAAAAGGCGGCGCAGCCAAAUCAAAAGGUGGAAAUGACAAUAAAGGUGCUGCUGGAGGUAAGGGAGCAGGAGACAAGGGAGGAAAAAAGGGUGGCAAUAAGAAGUAGCGACGGCAGCGUCGUCAGCUUCAAUCCCUUCCCCGGCCAACACCCGCAGCUGACCGCGUUCCGGAAGCGGUGAACUGGACAA